ensembl:lncRNA
GGAACAUGGCAGUGGAACAGGGUGGAACAGGGUGGAACAUGGCAGUGGAACAUGGUGGAACAUGGCAGUGGAACAGGGUGGAACAUGGCAGUGGAACAGGGUGGAACAGGGUGGAACAGGGUGGAACAUGCGCAUGGACCAGGGUGGAACAGGGUGGAACAUGGCAGUGGAACAUGGUGGAACAUGGCAGUGGAACAGGGUGGAAAAGGGUGGAACAUGGCAGUGGAACAUGGUGGAACAUGGCAGUGGACCAGGGUGGAACAUGGCAGUGGAACAUGGUGGAACAUGGUGGAACAGGGUGGAACAUGGCAGUGGAACAUGGUGG